AGCGAACGCUGGCGGCAGGCUUAACACAUGCAAGUCGAGCGGGCACUUUCGGGUGUCAGCGGCGGACGGGUGAGUAACGCGUGGGAACGUGCCCUCUGGUUCGGAAUAACUCAGGGAAACUUGAGCUAAUACCGGAUACGCCCUUUUGGGGAAAGGCUUGCUGCCGGAGGAUCGGCCCGCGUCUGAUUAGCUAGGUGGUGAGGUAACGGCUCACCAAGGCGACGAUCAGUAGCUGGUCUGAGAGGAUGAUCAGCCACACUGGGACUGAGACACGGCCCAGACUCCUACGGGAGGCAGCAGUGGGGAAUAUUGGACAAUGGGCGCAAGCCUGAUCCAGCCAUGCCGCGUGAGUGAUGAAGGCCUUAGGGUUGUAAAGCUCUUUUAUCCGGGACGAUAAUGACGGUACCGGAGGAAUAAGCCCCGGCUAACUUCGUG
rnacentral:rRNA from 1 species